CAGUCGCCGCGGGAAUACGUAGGGUGCAAGCGUUAAUCGGAAUUACUGGGCGUAAAGCGUGCGCAGGCGGUUUUGUAAGACAGAGGUGAAAUCCCCGGGCUCAACCUGGGAACUGCCUUUGUGACUGCAAGGCUAGAGUACGGCAGAGGGGGAUGGAAUUCCGCGUGUAGCAGUGAAAUGCGUAGAUAUGCGGAGGAACACCGAUGGCGAAGGCAAUCCCCUGGGCCUGUACUGACGCUCAUGCACGAAAGCGUGGGGAGCAAACAGGAUUAGAUACCCGGGUGUCCCUGUCUCUUAUACC
rnacentral:rRNA from 1 species